ACUCAGGCGUUGAGGAGACGCGCACGCGUGGUUUCGGACACCAAACUCGCUCUAAAAGUCACUCACGUGGAGCGGUUAGAAGAGUCACGUUUCGAAACGCAGACGCAGAGGUAGAGAUUGCGUGUGUAAAAAAUAGAGAUUUGUGGGGACAGCGGCACAGACCGUGCGACGCAAAAGUCCGAAAGGAAUCAGCGUUUUAUUUAAAAGGUACGUUUGGGGUCCUACGCGGCUUCGGUCUUUGUCUUGUUGUCACCAUCUUCUU